rnacentral:tRNA from 1 species
CCUGGCUGGCCCAGUCACUUAUGCAAGCAACUCUUGAUUGUGGGGUUGUGAGUUCAAGUCCCAUGUUGGGUG